UAGUCCACGCCGUAAACGAUGGAUACUAGGCGCUUGGAGGAAUUAACCCUCUGGGUGCCAAAGCUCACGCAUUAAGUAUCCCGCCUGGGGAGUACGGUCGCAAGGCUAAAACUCAAAGGAAUUGACGGGGGCCCGCACAAGCGGUGGAGUAUGUGGUUUAAUUCGAAGCAACGCGAAGAACCUUACCUGGUCUUGACAUCCUCUGACAAUCAUAGAGAUAUGACUUUCUCUUCGGAGACAGAGUGACAGGUGCUGCAUGGCUGUCGUCAGCUCGUGUUGUAAAAUGUUCGGUUAAGUCCGGCAACGAGCGCAACCCCUAUCCUUAGUUACCAUCAUUUAGUUGGGGACUCUAGGGAGACUGCCGGUGUCAAACCGGAGGAAGGCGGGGAUGACGUCAAGUCCUCAUGGCCCUUACGACCAGGGCUACACACGUACUACAAUGGCAGGAACAAACAGUUGCGAGACCGCAAGGUUUAGCUAAUCUGAAAAACACUGUCCCAGUCCGGAUUGGGGU
rnacentral:rRNA from 1 species